GGAUAUAGCUCAGUGGCAGAGUACUUUUCUAGCAAGCAGGGGGCCCUGGGUUCAAUCCCCAGAACUG
rnacentral:tRNA from 1 species